rnacentral:lncRNA from 1 species
AUUUAUAUAGAAGGAUGGGCAUGGUCAGUGAGUGAGAAGUAUAUAAUGGCAUGUGACUCAAUGACAUUAUAUGUGAGACCAACGUACUAUGAUUUUCUUAUACGAGGAAUGGUACCAUUACAACAUUAUUGGCCAAUCAGAGACCUUGGUAAGUGUAGAUCCCUCAAACACGCUGUACAUUGGGGGAAUACUCAUGUGGACCAGGUUUGUAAUUUUAUUAGAACCCGGAAGUUUUGUUUUGUGUCAAGUUAACCCAUUGAUUUUGGUGUUUAAUUAAUUGACAGGCACGUAAGAUAGGGGAAGAAGGGAGUAGAUAUAUAAGAGAGGAGGUGAGCAUGGAAUAUGUGUAUGAUUACAUGUUCCAUUUGAUGAACGAGUAUGCCAAACUUUUGAAGUUUAAGCCGGAGAUUCCUUUGGGAGCAAAGGAGAUUACUACGGAUAGUAUGGGAUGUCCGGCGAAGGGACGGUGGAGAGAUUUUAUGGCGGAGUCUAUGGUGAUGUCUCCUAGUGAAGUGUCUCCUUGUGAGAUGCCUCUUCCUUAUAGCCCUAUGGAGCUAAGAGAGGUUCUUGAGAGGAAAGCUAAUUUGACUCGCCAAGUUGAGGUUUGGGAAGAUCAAUACUAUCGUAAUUUGACAAAUGCCAACAAGCAUUGACCAACGAGGCUCUUGUUUUACAAGAUACUGAUUUUUUUUUUUUUUUAAACUAAACAAGAUACUGAUUUGUUGUGUUCAUAUUAAAAUUACUAAGUACUUCGUGAGUUAUAAUUUGAUUAAUCAAAAUUUAAUAUAGAUAGUGAUUUAAUAUAAGGUAUAAGAUUUAUAUAGAAGGAAGGGCUUGGUCAGUGAGCGAGAAGUAUAUAUUAGCUUGUGACAGUAUGUCACUUCUCAUAAAAACUUUUUACUUUUGACUUCAUCACUCGAAGUUUAGUUCCCAUGGAACAUUAUUGGCCUAUUAGACUUCAUAAAAAUUGCAAUGACAUCAUCUUUGCCGUCCAAUGGGCCAACAACAAUACCAAAAAAGUAGUAACAAUAUAACAUAAAUCAGUCAAGUCAUUUUUUGAAACUGAUUAUGGUGUUAUAUGAUCUUCACUUAUUUUAGAGGCAAAAACUAUAGGGAGAAAUGGAAGUGGAUAUGUACUUAAGUAUCUACAAAUGAAGUAUGUGUAUGAUUAUAUGUUUCAUAUAUUGCAAAGCUAUGGGAAGUUGAUGAAGAUGAAUGUAGAAGUCCCUGAAGGAGCUAAGGAAGUGUGUCCAGAGACAAUGGCGUGUCCGGUUAAGGGAGGUCGAAUGAGACAAUAUAUGGAUGACUCAUUGAUUCUGUCUCCGAGCAACAAGGGCUCUUGUGAGACGCCUCCACCUUUUGAAGACGAUGAACUCAAGAAGUUUUUAGAAAAGAAAAAAAGUGUUGAGAAAGAAGUGGAGAAGUGGACUAAUGAGUACUGGGAGGAACAAAAUAAGUCUCUUCAACACUGAGUUUUGUAUAUACACAUACACUUUCCCCUAAUCAGUACUACUUAAUUGAGUAUGUAUUAUACAAAUAAAAAUAACAAGUUAAUUGUCAAAACAUUACAAUAACGACCCCUUGAUGUGAUAAAAUUAAAAUGUAACCUCUCAAAGCCUUUGAGAAAAUUUCACUUCAGGAAUCCAACUUUAAUGUACCACUAGUGGUAUUUCGGCGCGCCAGAUUAGUAUGUCUUUCUUUAAUGAAUUUAAAAUUAAUUUUAUGGUUUUAAUAAAUAAAAUAUUUUUAAAUAUUUGAAAGAGAAUGAUAAUUUUUCUGAUUCAUUUGAUAGUUGUUAGCGAUCCUAUUAUAUCAUUUUGUUUUGAAAUUGGUUAGGUCAAAGAAGAAUAUUUUUUAAUGAUCGAUUCAAUAAAAAUAGAAUAAAUAGUUGAUAGUAGCAAUAAAGUUAAUAUGCUUGAACUUUAACAGUAAAGCAAAGUUGAUGUUAGAAAAGAAAAAACGUAGGGCUGGAAAAAUCAGAGGAUAGCUUUAAGGCCUAUUUAGCUAGAAAUACAAAUUGGAGGAGGUAAUUACAGAAGUGUGCAUUUUUUUUUUAAAUAAUUGGGGAACCAUGUCAAUUUUGUCCUGAGUUGCCAAUUCUCUCCUCUAACCACAACUUCUUUGUUACGUAUGUGUUACCUGUUACCGGGGCUGAUGCCAAAAAAAAUUAUAUUGUAUUGAAACUAUUUCCAAACGCAAUCAACGUUUUGAAACCGGAUAUUAGUGCUAAAACUACACUAAAAUAGUGUAAUUUUGACACUAAAAUAGUGACAUGGGUUGGAGAUGCCCUAAAGGCGUUACGGUAAUGACGACACCGCUUUAUUACUACUACUAGUGUGUUUUUUUUCCUUCACAAAAUUAGUAAUUAACUUUUAAUAAAACUAUUUUAUUUCUUAAAAACGAGAAAGAAAGAAAUAAAUAAAAUUGUCGUUUUGUCUCCUUUAUGAAAUUCCGUGGUGGGUGACGAUUCUGGCGAAGACUUUGAGGAGCUUGGUGAGCUACAAAUAGUAGUGGCGCGGUAAGGUCGGUGUUUUCUUAAUGUGGUAUUGGUGUGGGUGCGACUAGUUGUGAUUUUGAUAUAUGUACGAAAUCAAAAUAAAGGAUCUUAAAAUAAACAAUAAUUUGGACCUCUUAUACUGUGGAUUGUGUGGAACAAUACUGUGUCGAUAUUAUAGCAUAGUGGAAUCGGUCAAGAAUGACAAAUGAAUAUCAAUGGAAAGGCUCUCUAAGUUUUGGCAUAGAAUGGUAGUAUGUUGUAUAAGUAUAAAAUAAUCGUAGUAAUAUCAAAUGCUGCAUUUUCUCUUGAAUUUAUAGUUUCAACAAUAUAAUCUAAAAAAUACCACAUAUAUACCAGAGGUUUGGUUUAUGAAUGUCAAUUUUUCUUAUACGUGUUGUGGUAUAUAAUUUUGUUUUCUACCAGCGGGUAUAACUCCUGAAUAUACUGUAUAGGUUUAUGUGAAAAAUAUUUGAAAAGUUAUAAAGAUACAGAUGUGAUGUUCAGAACAAGCUACAUUGAGAGUUGGAGAAGCAGCUGCCCACCAUGAAUUUUUUUUUUAUUAGUGUAUUUUCUGCUGAUUUUUUAUGCCUCAGUUGAUAAGUUAAUUUUAUAAAAGUAUUAAAAAGUGUUUCACAGUGACAACAAUUAUUUAUAGAACUGCCAUUGAUGAUGUUUACUGUAAAUAUUGACUCCACACAUUCAUCAUAAUAGAAACGGCAAAAAUCAAUUUAUUUUUGGGAAAAUUGGAUAUUGAAACCGGAUGUAGCUCUAAUAAUUGAAGAGAGAAGAGUAAGAUAUUUUACAAAUUGUUUUUUAGAAAUGUGAUUGAUAGGAAGAUAUUUUACAACAUGUUGUUCCACGCGCUGAAAGUGAUAUGAGGAGUGCUCGACGCCAUAGGACCAUGGUAUCCUGUUCAUCUUGAUAUAUCAAUCAAAAUAUUAACCAUGUUGGGAGAUGGUGUCGGUUCCCUUUCAAAUAACAGAGCUUGAAUGUUAGAAGUAUCUUAUUAAAGAAGGCAAGAGCUAGAGAUACGCAUAUAUGUGUCAAUAGGCUGCAAUUAUAGUAUGAUUACAUUUAUCUAAUCCGGGUUUUACUAUUAGUAACUGGAUAUAUGACAGUAGGGUGCAUAUCUACAUAAGUGAAUUCCUGAUUCUUUGCAUUAUCAGAAGUUUCAAGAUUGUUUGCAUUAUUAAUACUUUCGAUAUGUGCAAUAGUCCCGUCAUUCUUUUGCUUCAUACGUGUCAGUAGUCGUUCUAUUUGAUUUUGUUAUGUCUAUAGGGAUACUUUAGGUAUUACUGCAAAAUGCACACGUAACUUUUGAUAAAAUACCAAUAUGAACUUAGUGGUAUUUUUUCCAAUUCUAAAAAUAAAUGCACACUCUCUUUACCUGUUACCUAAUUUACGUCUACAAUUUUGCUAUCUAGUGCAAAAUCCCUAGCUUUAGCUUCUUUCUUUAAACUGAUUUCUGACAAAAUGAAGAACAGUUUACAUAUGUCAAUAGUCACCAUAAAGCGAUGGAGUAGCGAAAGAUAAAGAAGAAACAUGUGAUAGAGUUGGGUGAAUUUUAGUAUUUGACUAAGAAAACUUUUGAAUAAAAACAUUAUUAGAGACAUACUCAUAAUCACAGAUCAUAAAAUAUAUUAAGAUAUACCACAAUCAAGCAUAAAACUCUAACAUACAAUUAAAAUUUUUAAUAAAUACUACACAUAUAAUCUCAUGCAAGAUGAAGAAAAAUAAAAAUAUAAACUCAUGCAAAUACAACACAAGAUAACAUAUUUUCACUAAAAUAACUGAAACAAAUACUGAAAAUAAAAUGCUCAAAACUCAUAAAAUAUAGUUGAUAACAAAUAAAAAUCCAAACACUUCAAAUUUGUAAACAAAGAUCAAAUGUUAACAAAAUAAAUAUAUAUGAUCUAAUUAGAAAACAAGUUAUAAAUGUUAUACUAAAUUUAAGUAAAUUUCAAAUGUUUUAUAAAAUUUAAAUAUAUUUUAAUACAAAAUAAUUUUAAUGCAAAAUCACCCGCCCGUAGGGCGGGCCAAACCCUAGUACAGUAUAUAAUAAGAUUAAUAACGUCUUUUACCUAUUUGAGGGUACUCCAACACAGAUUUGAACAGCCUAGGGAUGUAUAUGUCUGUAAAAUUCGUAUAGAGCAUACAACAUGGAGUUUUCUAACCAUUAUUAUUCUGUAUCAUGAGUGGUCGAAUAUGGACUGGCAUGUCAGUGUCUGUAUUGAAUGGCUAACGUUUUAUCUCCUUCUUGGCUAUUAUAGAAAGCAUUUAUAAUAAACUUUCUCAAAGAGGGUUUUAACUAAAUGAAUCCGUAAAUGUUGCAUUUAGUAACACACAUUUAAGAUUUUCAUAGAAACUCAAAGAUUACAAGAGAGGAUUAUUUGGGAAAUAAAUUGAUAUCAUAUGUCAUCGUCUUCAUGUGAUAGGUGUCACAUAACCAAUUUCUCAUACUAGUAUUAUGUCUUUAAUAUUCAGAAAACAUAAACCAUUCGAAAACCUUAAAAAGUAUGAACUUCGUGAACACAAAAGAUGUGAACUGGUGUUGAACAAAACGUUGAAACAAGAUUCAAAUCCUCGUGGAAAAGCACAAAUCAAAAGUCAAAACCAAAGCUUUGGUGGUGUCGUAUCGCUUGUGCAGCCAGGUUCUCAUUUUUCUUCUCUUGCGUAGAAUGUCUGUGCGCAUAUAAGCUGAGCAGAGGAAGGUGUAGAAUAAGAGUCAUGGCUCAACGGAAAAGCACUAAGGGGAACAACAGGGAUACUCAAACGAACACGCAUAGUAAUCACGCCUCUAUCAAAACGUCAUCGCAUCAAGGAAAACGCAUAGCAAAAGCUACUCUGCUCCUCGUCUUGUCUAUCUUCGUAUCUGCUGGUCUCUUGAGUUUCUUGUGUUGUUUCGAUUACGUGAGUUUCGAAUCGAAAACACCUUAAUAUAUAUUAUAAUGAUCAUGAGAGUGUUAUAUUUGUAUAGUAUAAUCAAGAACUCUUUUGUGUCCCUUUUAGACAACACUCACAGGUCCGAGGCAAGUAACAACAACAAUCACUAAACCACCAAUCAUAACGCUCCACAGAUUCCCUCGGCAAUGCGGUGUCGUACAGAACCAAACACAACCAGUGUCCGAAGAUGGCACAAACAAAAACAAACCAAGAAGCAACCACUCACGCCCACCCACGUGUCCCUCUUACUUCCGUUGGAUCUACGAGGAUCUACGGCCGUGGAGAGAGACAGGAGUAACGAGAGAGAUACUUGAGAAAGCAAGGAGCAAGGCCCAUUUCAGGGUUAUAAUCCUAGACGGGAGAGUGUACGUUAAGAAGUAUAGAAGACCGAUCGAGACUCGAGAUACUUUUACUCUGUGGGGCAUCGUACAGUUACUACAGUGGUACCCAGGGAGAUUACCAGAUCUGGAGCUCUUGUUCGACGCAGAUGAUAGACCAACCGUACGAUCAAUAGACUAUAGAGGUCAACAACACCCGGGCCCACCUCCAGUGUUCCGUUAUUGCUCUAAUGACGCCAGCUUGGACAUCGUGUUCCCUGAUUGGUCCUUCUGGGGCUGGUAACGACGGUAACAAUUACAACUCAAUUUAAUUGGGCUUAUUUAACUAACUGGGCUUUAACCGUCAUUGGGCCAGGGCUGAGCUUAAUAUAAAGCCUUGGGCUAAAUCGCUGGUGGCGAUAGAAGAAGGGAACAAGAUGACGCAAUGGGAAGACCGCGUGCCGUACGCUUACUGGAGAGGAAACCCUAACGUGGCCCGCACGAGGAAAGACCUUCUUAGAUGCAAUGUCUCAGACCAAGAAGAUUGGAACACUCGUCUCUACAUCAAUGUCUGGUCUAUUCAAAAUCUCCUUUUUUCCAUAUAAAACAUUUUCAAUUCUACUGUUAAUAAUACAUUUUUAAUCAUUUUGAAGGAUUGGGCUACAGAAUUCAAAGAAGGAUUCAAGAACUCAAACCUAGAGAACCAAUGCACUCACAGGUUAAACUUUUUAGUCAUUAUUUACUAUAUAUGUGUAUAAGUCUCAUAUAAUUUUAAUUUUUGGAAUAGGUACAAGAUUUAUAUAGAAGGAUGGGCAUGGUCAGUGAGUGAGAAGUAUAUAAUGGCAUGUGACUCAAUGACAUUAAAUGUGAGACCAACGUACUAUGAUUUUCUUAUACGAGGAAUGGUACCAUUACAACAUUAUUGGCCAAUCAGAGACCUUGGUAAGUGUAGAUCCCUCAAACACGCUGUACAUUGGGGGAAUACUCAUGUGGACC